AGAUAACAGUUGCUUCAACGUAGGACAUUUGAAGACUUUAAGUCCUCUUUUGGAGAUGACACUGUUUUGUCCUCCAUAUCUGACAUAAAUUUGCAGCUAGUAUUCGAAGAUCUUAUUGAUCGUGCUAAAGAGAAAGAAGAGAAAGAGGUUAAAAAGCGUAAACGUCUAGCCAAAGAUUUCACUGAAAAAUUGAGCACCAUUAAGGAAUUAAAUGUGCUAUCUUCGUGGGAGGAAUGCAAACCACUUAUUGAGGAAAGCUCAGAGUACAGUCUCUAGAGAUGAUGGCAAAUACCUGUCACCUGAUGCUGAUAGAAGAGUACGUAACCUCUAUAGACUUCACAGGUUGAGCUUGUGUGUCGGGUUCUCUCCUGAGUUAGUUGUUGCAGAUUUAUCAUAGCAGGUUGAUCAACUAGUUCUUGAGGAUUUGGUGCUAGAACAUAUAGUAUGAUAGAUUUUCGUUUUAGCUAUAACAUAGUUGGUACUUUCAAUUUUGAAUCGAAAUAUGCAAUGAUCAUAUGUACUUGAUACUUGGUUCAUUUGGAUGGUAAUGUAUGAAUAUUUUGGAUGAUAUAUAAUAUUGUUA